UUGRCCUCAAAUCAGGUAGGACUACCCGCUGAACUUAAGCAUAUCAAUAAGCGGAGGAAAAGAAACUAACAAGGAUUCCCCUAGUAACUGCGAGUGAAGCGGGAAAAGCUCAAAUUUAAAAUCUGGCGGUUUCUGGACUGUCUGAGUUGUAAUCUAGAGAAGUGUUUACCUGUGCUGGACCRUGUACAAGUCUCCUGGAAUGGAGCAUCAUAGAGGGUGAGAAUCCCGUCUUUGACAUGGACUACCUGUGCAUUAUGGGUGCGCUCUCGAAGAGUCGAGUUGUUUGGGAAUGCAGCUCAAAAUGGGUGGUAAAUGCCAUCUAAAGCUAAAUAUUGGCGAGAGACCGAUAGCGAACAAGUACCGUGAGGGAAAGAUGAAAAGAACUUUGGAAAGAGAGUUAAACAGUACGUGAAAUUGCUGAAAGGGAAACGCUUGAAGUCAGUCAYGUUGGCUGGAAAUCAGCCUUGCUUUUGCUUGGUGUAUUUUCUGGUCCGACGGGUCAGCAUCAAUUUUGACCAUUGGAUAAAGUCUUUUGGGAAUGUGGCAUCUUUUAGAUGUGUUAUAGCCCAUGGUUGCAUACAGUGGUUGGGAUUGAGGAACUCAGCACGCCGCAAGGCCGGGUUUCGACCACGUUUCCGUGCUUAGGAUGCUGGCAUAAUGGCUUUAAUCGACCCGUC
rnacentral:rRNA from 1 species